AGUAACAAGUCCACUAUCCAUCUUUCCUCCUAUCAACUUUGCGGUCUGUUUAACUUCUCCACUGCUAAAGACCAAAGUUCAGAGCAUAGUUCCAACUUUAUAGUGGUCGACUCCCUUCAUUCAUGUGAACUUUCCUCAGAGAAGGCUGCAAAAAAAGCCAAGUAUCACACCUGUCACAAAAAUUCUUCGAGUCUUUCCAUUGAGUUCUUUAAGCAGAGCGGUUGGAGUGAUGCACAAGUCAUGAAACUUAUCCGGAAGUCACCGCUGUUGCUGCGUACUAAGGUAGAGACUGCCCUGAAGCCCAGAAUGAGAUCUUUGAAGGACAUGGGAUUUUCUGACACUGAAAUAGUUCAGCUGGUUUCAUCAUGUCCAUCUGUACUCCUUUUACGUGAUAUCCAACCAAAGAUCGACUUCUGGAGGUCACUACUUGGUUCUAAUGAGAGGUUACUGAAUGCCUCUAGGAGGAACAUGUUUCUACUUGGUUCUAGCAUGGAUCGGAAGAUAGAACCUAAUGUAUCUCUCUUAAGGGAAUGUGGCAUCAGUGACAAACGCAUCGUGUAUAUGGUGAUGACAACGCCGGCCAUUAUGGGUCGAUCAAACAAAUAUAUGAAGGAAGCUAUCAAAUUAGUUAAGGAGUUGGGUGUGCCAUGUAACUGUAGAAUGUUCCCUUAUGCACUUAGUAUGGUCACCGGCAUGAGCCGAUCCAGGUUUUAUGAUACCUUUGCAACCCUGAUGAACUUUGGGUUCUCCCUGCAAGACAUCAUAGCUGCAUUCAGGAAGCAUCCAACCAUUUGGUAUUUGUCGAAGAAGAACAUAUGUGACAAGAUGACUUUCCUGUUGAAGGAAGCUGGUUGUGAGCUGACAUAUAUCAUUUCCCAUCCUGUGAUUCUUGCAUACAGCUUGGAGAAGAGGUUGAAACCUCGAUAUGCAAUUCUGAAUUUUCUUGAGCAGAAUAAAUUGCUGGAUAAAGUAUAUAGCCUGAUGUCCGUGAUAAUGCUAUCGGAAAAGAAGUUCCAAAAUAAAUUUCUUUUCCUGCUUCGCGAGGAGAAAUCUAUUGCUCUAUAUGAUUCCUAUUUGAAAUCUGUUGCUCAAUAGGAUUCCUAUGUUGCUGCUGGGCAUGGAAAGCACCAUGUUGUUUGGGAAAAUUAGGAUUGCAUGUGCUUCCUCAGACAAAGUGUCAACUUAUUGCACACUUAUUUAAUCAUGUUAAAUUUGUGACAAUUUAAAUUCUCCAAGGAGCUUCUUUUCUUUUAUUCUUUGGUACAACAAAAGAUACGGAUUCUUUUAUGCAGAAAUAUAGUGAACCAACGGGGAGAAGUCUUACUUAAGAAAGAUAUAAAGGUAACUAAAAUGUUUCAACUCUGUCAGCUAUCUGUGUCAACUUGGCAUCAGUCGUAUUAAUUUAGAUGAUUAAGAACUUGUUAAUUAUGUGAGUAUGAAUAGGGACUAAUAUAUGAUAGUAAAGAGUUAAUUGUGUGAGGGCUUUCUUUGUCAGAAUCCCAUCACCUCUCCACCGGCUCUAAAUUACAUCUCUAUUUAUAUGGAAUGAAACCUCUAUUGUUACAUGUUGUUAAUCAUGCACUAAUAUAUGAUAGUUAAGUGUGAUUUAUUGAAGAUAUCGAUUUACUAUAUACUAUUGUUGAAAAAUGAACCCACGAGAGUAAUACCUUUCGAUUUAUUGUUGGAGCGCACUAACGAAUAUUCAGUUAUGCAAAGAUGAUUAUUAUAAUAUGAUGAUUGAAUUUUGUGUAUACUAUGGUACAUUAGUGCAUGUGGCAAUUAUGAGAUUUAUUAGAUAGUAUCAACAUGCACUAUUGUAAGAGGCCCCGUGAGAUCAACGUGCACUAUUGUGAGAUUUAUUAUAUAGUAUCAACUGUCACCUCUCUCUCCCUCUCUCUCUCUCUUUCUCAGCCCGUGACUGCAUGCAUGCAUCCCAAUAUUCGUUCUAGUCAUCGUUCUAGUCAUAUCCAGACAUACUCACACAUUAAGAAUUUAAGAGUCAUCGGUUCAUCUCAAGCUUGCUUCUUAAUGUUCAAUUUAAUGCACUAAGCAAUAGAUAUGGUUUAAGGUAACAACACUCUCUCGAGUGAAGUGAACGGGUCUCGGCGCCCCCCUGAUUCAAAUCAGAGAGGACUAUAUUGGAUCUGAGCACAACAUAAGUCACUGGAUCUGGUUCGAUGGAACCAAAUGAAGGACUCUCCUCUCUCACACACAACUAUAUCAAUGGCCACGCGUCCAAUGAGAAGACUCGUGGAAACCUAAUCAGCCACCGGCGGCACCGUCUUCCUCUCCAUCCGCGAAUGGCGGCGGCAGCAAUGUCUUCCUCAGCGGGCUCAUCGUUGGUAUCUUUCUCCUCCUCCUCCUCCUCCUCAUCCUUUGCCGUCGCCCACUCUGCCCCAACCGCCUCCCUCCAUCUUCCCGCCCCCACCUUCGCCGUAGCCCCCCCGCGACCGGCGUCUGCCCCUGCCUCUUCCUUUCCCCUCGUCGUAGCCGUCUUACCCCUUCCUUCCUGCGCCGGCGUUUUCCCUUCUCCUCCCUACGUCGGCGUCUUCUUUCAUUGUAUCAUCCUUUCACCCCCGCAGCGUCUUCUCCCCCCUUCGCUUCGCUGCAGCCGCUUGAUAAGACCCUAAGGUUUUAUCAGGGAAAAAAUUGGGAGAAAAGGGGACGAUCACUUCGAGAUGAUCGGCCUCCUUGAUCACUUCGAGGGGAUCGUCGACGGGAACUUGUCUUCGUGCCCGGCACCCAGUGUGCAGCUGUUUGUUCAACAUUCUAAAGUUUUUGUUUUUCUCAUUUAUCUCUUUUCUCUUAUGCACGCAAAGUGUUCGCUGAAUGGCUUUUAAAGCUUUUCUUUUUGUGGGACGUCGGGACUUGUCCGUUGUUUAUUCUUCGAACUAAUCAACUUUUUCUUAUGCACGCAAGGUGUUCGCUGACCUUUGCGGACACAUAUCACAAGGGCACGUCAUGACUUUGGCAAUCCCAAUUAAGUCCAAGAAGUUGACGCAACGGCGCUUUGCGACUUAGGCAACUCAAGCCAAAUUUGUGUCUUGGCCGCAAGGGUGCCUCACGACUUAGGCAAUUCCAGUUAAGUCCGUGACAAGGCGACGGUGAAGAAGGAGGCAACGAGGGUCACGGUUGGGAUGUGUUGGCCGGGAGCAGUGGCGGUGGCGGUUGCUGGCCGAAGAUGCAAGGCUGACCCUGUUUUGGUCGCCGCGAGGAGGAGAGGUCGAGCGGCUGCGGUUGCGAUUGCGACCCAAGGGGGGGCGGGCGACGGUGGAGAAGGAGGCAGCGAGGUUCACGACUGGGAGGUGGGCGACGGUCAUCGUUGGCCGGGAACUUGCUGUGGUGGAGAGGGGAAAGAGGGAUGCUCUGUUUCUAUCGCACCACAGCAGGAGCCACUGGCGAUGUCGAAGGAUCGCGAGCGGUUGAGGAGAAGGCUGGCAACGGUGGUGGCUCGGGUGGGAGGUGACGGGCGACGGUGGACUCUGGCCGGGGAGCGGGGCUGUGGUGGGAUGGGACAUUGGCAGCGUCGUCUCCUGGCAGCGGUGGUGGCUUGGGUGGGAGGCAACAGGCGAUGGUGGACUCCGGCCGGGAAGCAGGGCGGUGGUGGUAGCGGCGGUGGGGUUGGUUGGAAGUAGGGAAAGUAUGAGCCCUUUCCACCAGCGACAGUGGUGGAGGAGAGGGGAAGCAGGGGUUCUCGGUUGUGCGUGGCUGCGCCCCCUUUUUUUUUUUUUAUGAUAACUACAACGAGGACUCCGAGGAUCGCUGCUCUGAUACCAAAUGAUAAGACCCUAGGGUUUUAUUAUGGAAAAAAAGGGAGAAAAGGGGAUGAUCACUUCGAGGGGAUCGACCUCCUAGGGUUUGUCAAAAGACUUAAUAAUAUUUCAUUGUCUCCGAAAAGAAACGAUUACAUCAUUAUUUAUAGAGUUCCACUUAGAAUCCAUCACGACUUGGACUCUUAAUAAUAAAUAAAUAUUAAAUAAAUUUCUAUCCGAUUCUAACUGAAUUAAACAUACUCAAUAAACAUUAUUCAAAAGUUUAGAAAAUAAAAAGGAUCCUAACAUCGCCCCAGCAACCCAACCGACAUUGACAACCAUUCUAACCCGUACCUCCUCCUCCUCCUCGGAUCCUUCAUCCUUGACCCCCUCCCAACUGACAACAACCCCCUCUUCAUCCUCCUCCUUCUAUGUAAAUUGUUUUAUUAAUAUAGAUUUGAACAAGUAUUAUUUGGUCCUUUAAAUGAUUACCAUGUUUCUUUUUUUGUUUUAGCGAUUAUAUCUAUUAAUCAUGAUAUAUACUUUUAAAAUUUUAAGAAGCAUCUCUCUUCACUUGGGCCAGCGCCUAGCCAAGCACCUAGCAUCUCAGGCGUUUUGACACUUUGGCGUCGUUUAGUGUCUCUCACCCGCGACCACACUGCUAUAGCACAACUUGGUUCACUUGUUUGGUUCCAUUUAAUUAUUCAGACCCAUGCAUGUUGCCACACUUGGUUGAUGUUAGUUUUCAUGCUUGGUCCUUUAUGUGCAUGUUUGAAUUCAUCUGAACCAAAUUGAGCACAUCACAGCUCCACAAAAAAAUCAUUGGAUUUGAGCUGCAUUGGUUAUAUAUGUAUUCUAAAAAUGUUAUGAGAUUCAAGUGAGAUUGUCUUGAUUCAAUUUUAACCUAAACAUGUUUCAGCUGCAUUCCCUCGCAACAAGUUCUAUGCAUAAACUAACCUGUCCAUGAGUCCCUCAUGCAUAAUGUCUGCCUGCAUAUACAUGUUUGAUUGCAUGCCAUUAUCUUAUUGUAUCAAUCUUUUGAUCCUAUUAUUAUUUUUUUUGUUGCUUACCACAUAAGUCGGUUGGUUCUAAAAUGGUUAUGAAUGGCAAAGAAGUUUGUAAUAUGACUUUUGUUUAUCGUUACCUAUUUGUUGCUCAGACAUAAUAAUAUAUGUGCAAUUUAGUUAUCAGAUAGAACCACACACAUGGGAACAUUGCACAUAUUUCUUGUCUGUUUUUGGCUCUUGUGGUAACUUCAUCACAUAAGUGCUGAUUCCGGUGUCUUGCAUUGAACCACAGUAAUGAAUUGCUGGACCUCCUUUCGCAUGUAUUUACUAAUUAUGCAUACAGAAUGCAUUUAUAUAUUUGAUUUUGUGGCUAACGGAUUGUCUAUAUUAAUGGGAUUUGGAGAGGGCAGUUAGGUACUAGAAGCUAUUAGGAGCUGUCACUGUAUCUUCAUGCUAUCCUCUUCACAUCGAAGCUCUCAUUUUUCUUUUUUGUUGUUGUACAUGCCUCUGGAUCGUUCAUCAAUCAAUGUGAUUUUGUAUUUUGCUGUGCUUAGAUUUUAUUUUUCAUUUUUUUCUUCUUUUCAUUUCUUUGCUAUGAGAUGGUAGAUUUGUGCCUUGGCGGUCAUUAUAAACUGUGGUUUCAUUUUACAUUUUGAAACAUUAGUCAUUUUGGCAUCCAAAAUAAUUUUAUGUGACAUUUCAAAUUUCCUAUGACAUCAAUUACUUUGUUUUGUUCUUGAACAUUGGUACAGUGACAUGGUAUAAGUGAUCUUUUAUACAUGCUCAUUUGGUGAUCAUUGUAACUCGUAAAGGAGGUCAUGAAAAUAAUUUUGACUAAUAUUAGUUUAAAUUUACUUUACUUGAUUGUGGCCCAGAUAAUGUAAUCAAAUGUGGUGCUCGGCAUUUGAAAAUUUUCUUAUUAUACAAUAUCUCCAAUGAUGCGUAUUUAGUGACAACUGAAUUAAUUUCUGGCUCUUGGAUAUGAGCUGGUUCAGAACUGACCUUAGAUGGUGAAUUUUUCAAUCUCAGAUGUUCAAUGUUCUGAAAAUGCAUGCAUGUCAUUUACGAGCAUUUACUUUGGAGAAACAGCAAGCAACAACAUGCAAGUUAAAUACUGUUUAUUAAGAUGGACAGCAGGAGAAGUGCUGCUUUUAGAGAUAGAAAAGAGAAUUGGAAAGUUUUUUGACAAAAAAAAAGCUUGGAAAAGAUUGAACAAGAGAUAGCAGAGACUGUAAUUGUGUUACUGGCCAAAGAAAAUUAUAUUCAUUUGUCAAUAGAAUCAUGCAUACGUCUGGUGAUUCCUCAUGUGAAGGAUUUUAUUUAUAAAUAUAUCUGAGAUAGUACUAAUCUGAUUAGGUUUCCCAAAAGAAGCCCUCUAAACAGCAGCUGCUUGCUUUGAUAAAAGUGUUUGGUUCAUCAAACCUCUUAGUUUCCUUAUUAUGCCUACCACCACAAUUUCCUUUUCAAACACACCAAAACAUUUCAACAAUCAUCAAAACCCCAAAUGGUUCAAAGGACUUGACUCUCACUAAAAGUACAAGCUGAGCAAACAAUUAGAAUGUGACUUGAUUUCCAAACCCCAAAGUAGACCCAAAAUUUCAAUGUGUUUGGUUAGGUGUAACCUUACAUCUUUAUGUCGGCAUAGUGUGGUCUCCUCUGCAGGCUGAUAACAACUCUCUUGGCAACUUGAUACAUGUUUGUACCUCAAAAGAUAUUGGUGUUCUUAUAUUUGAAUUACCAUUCCUGUAUUUCUACUAGUAGCAAUAGAAAAAUAUUUGAAUUUUCUUAAUUCAACCACAGAUGUUUUCUUACACAGAAUUCAUUGAUGCAAAGGAUGCAUAUAGCGGAUAUGACUUUUAUUAUUGUUGUGCUUGUUUGCACUUGCUCGUUUUAUUGGCAAAUUCUCACAGAUCUAGGUUAUGUUGGUGAAACUUCUCAGUAAGAAAUAUUUCUUCCUUAUUAAUGACAUCAAGGUAUUUUUAAUACUGUAGCUGAAGCUAUUUGCACGAGCUGUCUUUCUCUAAAAUUAAGUUCCUUUAUCAACAUUGAACCAAAUAAACUAGUAGCCUUUCUUGAUCGAGGCACCUUUCUUACCUCUUGGUUCAUUUUAUGGAAAAUUUGUUGCCUUUCUCAGGUCUUUCAGCUAAGUUGCAAUUUUUUGUCUAGUUGUAUUAACAAUGUCUUUUCUACUUACCAGUCUUUCUAGUUGUAGUAGGAAUUAGUGAUCUCUGAAAGAAAUGGCUAAUGGAAACUGAAUGCAGGUGGGUUAACGUGAGUGGUAGACGAAUGUCCUCUGAUCAGAUGAUUAGUUGAAAGUUUUCAACUUCCUUUUGGUUGGAAGCAGAUACAGAAAAUAUAUUAGUUUGGGUGCCCUUGAUUCGAGGUAGAAGAGGAAGCUGAACAUAGAGCAGGCAGCAAUAAGACUACUUUUCUUGUAUUUUUCUGCAAACAGUACGUGAUACUGCUUCAAAAGAUCAUGUUUUUGGUGCAAAAGAGGCUCUUUCGCUGUCUCCCAAGUAACAAGUCCACUAUCCAUCUUUCCUCCCAUCAACUUUGCAAUCUGUUUAACUUCUCCACUGCUAAAGACCAAAGUUCAGAGCAUAGUUCCAACUUUAUAGUGGUCGACUCCCUUCAUUCAUGUGAACUUUCCUCAGAGAAGGCUGCAAAAAAAGCCAAGUAUCACACCUGUCACAAAAAUUCUUCGAGUCUUUCCAUUGAGUUCUUUAAGCAGAGCGGUUGGAGUGAUGCACAAGUCAUGAAACUUAUCCAGAGGUCACCGCUGUUGCUGCGUACUAAGGUAGAGACUGUCCUGAAGCCCAGAAUGAGAUCUUUGAAGGACAUGGGAUUUUCUGACACUGAAAUAGUUCAGCUGGUUUCUUCAUGUCCAUCUGUACUACUUAUACGUGAUAUCCAACCAAAGAUCAACUUCUGGAGGUCACUACUUUGUUCUAAUGAGAGGUUACUGAAAGCCUCUAGGAGGAACUUGUUUCUACUUACUUCUAGCUUGGCUCGGAAGAUAAAACCUAAUAUAUCUCUCUUAAGGGAAUGUGGCAUCAGUGACAAACUCAUCGCGAAUAUGGUGGUGACAGGGCCAGCCAUUUUGGGUCGAUCAAACAAAUGUAUGAAGGAAGCUAUCAAAUAUGUUGAGGAGUUGGGUGUGCCACGUAACUGUAGAAUGUUCCCUUAUGCACUUAAAAUAGUCGCUGGCAUGAGCCGAUCCAGGUUUGAUGCUACCUUUGCAACCCUGAUGAACUUUGGGUUCUCCCAGUCAGACAUCAUUGAUGUAUUCAGGAAGCAACCAACCGUUUGGGUUUUCUCAAAGAAGAACAUUUGUGACAAGAUGACUUUCCUGAUGAAGGAAGCUGGUUGUGAGCUGACAUAUAUCAUUUCCCAUCCUGCGAUUCUUAUAUACAGCUUGGAGAAGAGGUUGAAACCUCGAUAUGAAAUUCUGAAUUUUCUUGAGCAGAAUAAAUUGCUGGAUAAAGUAAAUGGCCUGAUAACCAUGAUAAUGCUAUCGGAAAAGAAGUUCCGAAAUAAAUUUCUUUUCCUGCUUCGCGAGGAGAAAUAUAUUGCUCUAUAUGAUUCCUAUGUUGCUGCUGUGCAUGGAAAGCGCCAUGUUGUUGUGGAAAAUUAGGAUUGCAAGUGCUUCCUUAGACAAAGUGUGAACCUAUUGCAUACUGACUGUAUUAUUUAAUCAUGUAAAAUUUGUGACAAUUUAAAUUCUCUAAGAGUUACUUCUUACGGUAGAACGUCCAUGUUGAUUUUGAGAUUUCUUUUCUCUUUAUUCUUCGGUACAACAAAAGAUACUGAUUCUUUAAUGCAUAAAUAUAGAGAACCAAGGGGGAGAAGUCAUUAUUUAAGAAAGAAACAAAGGUAACUAAAAUAUUUCAGAUCUGUCGGUUGGUCAGUGUCCACUUCAUUGAGAGCGAGUUAAUUAGGAGAGUAUGAUUUGAAGAUAUCCUCCAACCCUUAUAAAUAUGCAUGUGAUCAACGUGCUCUAUUGUGAGAUUUAUUAUUAUAGUAUCAACUGUCACCUCUCUCUCUGUCUCUCUCUCUCAGCCCGUGACUGCAUGCAUCCCAAUAUUCGUUCUAGUCAUAUCCAGACUCACACAUUAUGAAUUUAAGAGCCAUCGGUCCAACUCAAGCUUGCUUCUUAAUGUUCAAUUUAAUGCACUAAGCAAUAUAUAUGCUUUAAGGUAACAACACUCUCUCGAGUGAAGUGAACGGGCCUCGGCGCCCACCUGAUUCAAAUCAGAGAGGACUAUAUUGGAUCUGAGCCCAACAUAAGUCACUGGAUCUGGUUCGAUGGAACCAAAUGAAGGACUCUCCUCUCUCACACACAACUAUAUCGAUGGCCACGCGUGCAAUGAGAAGACUCGUGGAAACCUAAUCAGCCACCGGCGGCACCGUCUUCCUCUCCAUCGGCGAAUGGCGGCGGCAGCAAUGUCUUCCUCAGCGGGCUCAUCGUUGGUAUCUUUCUCCUCCUCCUCCUCCUCCUUUGCCGUCGCCCACUCUGCCCCAACCGCCUCCCUCCAUCUUCCCGCCCACACAUUCGCCGCCAGCGUCCCCUCUUCUUCGCCUCGUCGUAGCCGUCUUCCCCCUUCCUCCCUGCGCCGGCGUUUUCCCUUCUCCUCCCUACGUCGGCGUCUUCUUUCAUUGUAUCAUCCUUUCACCCCCGCGGCCAGCGUCUUCUCCCCCCUUCGCUUCGCUGCAGCCGCCCCAGCAACCCAACCGACAAAGACAGCCACCUCAACCCACAGCAACCUUCUCCCGUACCUCCUCCUCCCUCUCCUUCUCCUCGGAUCCUUCAUCCUUGCCCCCCUCCCAACUGACAGCAACCCCUUCUUCAUCCUUCUCCUUCUACGUAAAUUGUUUUUUUGAUAUAGAUUUGAACAAGUAUUAUUUGGUCCUUUAAAUGAAUACUAUGUUUCUUUUUUUUGUUUUAGCGAUUACAUCUAUUAAUCAUGAUGUAUACUUUUAAAAUUUUAAGAAGCAUCUCUCUUCACUCGGGCGUGGAAAGAAAUGGCUAAUGGAAACUGAAUGCAGGUGGGCUAACGUGAGUGGUAGACGAAUGUCCUCUGAUCAGAUGAUUAGUUGAAUGUUUUCAACUUCCUUUUGGUUGGAAGCAGAUACAGAAAAUAUAUUAGUUUGGGUGCCCCUGAUUUGAGGUAGAAGAGGAAGCUGAACAUAGAGCAGGCAGCAAUAAGACUACUUUUCUUGUAUUUUUCUGCAAACAGUACGUGAUACUGCUUCAAAAGAUCAUGUUUUUGGUGCAAAAGAGGCUCUUUCGCUGUCUCCCAAGUAACAAGUCCACUAUCCAUCUUUCCUCCCAUCAACUUUGCAGUCUGUUUAACUUCUCCACUGCUAAAGACCAAAGUUCAGAGCAUAGUUCCAACUUUAUUGUGGUCGACUCCCUUCAUUCAUGUGAACUUUCCUCAGAGAAGGCUGCAAAAAACUCCAAGUAUCACACCUGUCACAAAAAUUCUUCGAGUCUUACCAUUGAGUUCUUUAAGCAGAGCGGUUGGAGUGAUGCACAAGUCAUGAAACUUAUCCAGAAGUCACCGCGGUUGCUGCGUACUAAGGUAGAAACUGUCCUGAAGCCCAGAAUGAGAUCUUUGAAGGACAUGGGAUUUUCUGACACUGAAAUAGUUCAGCUAGUUUCAUCAUGUCCAUCUGUACUAAUACGCGAUAUCCAACCGAAGAUCAACUUCUGGAGGUCACUACUUGGUUCUAAUGAGAGGUUACUGAAAGCCUCUAGGAGGAACAUGUUUCUACUUACUUCUAGCUUGGCUCGGAAGAUAGAACCUAAUAUAUCUCUCUUAAGGGAAUGUGGCAUCAGUGACAAACGCAUCGCGUAUAUGGUGGUGACAAAGCCGACCAUUAUUGGUCGAUCAAACAAAUAUAUAAAGGAAGCUAUCAAAUAUGUUGAGGAGUUGGGUGUGCCAUGUAACUG
rnacentral:lncRNA from 1 species